GCCAGGGAAUUACGAGCCAAGCUUAAAACCCAAAGGACUUGACGGUGUCCCAACCAACUAGAGGAGCCUGUUCUGUAAUCGAUGAUCCACGUUUUACCUGACCCCCCCUUGCCCUUCAGCCUGUAUACCUCCGUCGUAAACCCGCCAUAUGAAUGUUUUCCAGCGGGUACAAUGACCCCCCGUCAAUACGUCAGGUCAAGGUGCAGCCCAUGGGAGGAGGAAGUGAUGGGCUACAAUUUCUAAUCUAGAACAAACGAACUACUGCAUGAAACACAGUAUGAAGGAGGAUUUAGUAGUAAAANGAAAAUAGCAUGUUCUUUUUAACAUGGCCCUGGGACGUGUACDCACCGNCCGU
rnacentral:rRNA from 1 species